rnacentral:rRNA from 1 species
GACGAACGCUGGCGGCGUGCUUAACACAUGCAAGUCGAACGGAAAGGCCCUGCUUUUGUGGGGUGCUCGAGUGGCGAACGGGUGAGUAACACGUGAGUAACCUGCCCUUGACUUUGGGAUAACUUCAGGAAACUGGGGCUAAUACCGGAUAGGAGCUCCUGCUGCAUGGGGGGGGUUGGAAAGUUUCGGCGGUUUGGGAUGGACUCGCGGCUUAUCAGCUUGUUGGUGGGGUAGUGGCUUACCAAGGCAUUGAGGGGUAGCCGGACUGAGAGGGUGACCGGCCACAUUGGGACUGAGAUACGGCCCAGACUCCUACGGGAGGCAGCAGUGGGGAAUAUUGCACAAUGGGCGGAAGCCUGAUGCAGCAACGCCGCGUGCUGGAUGACGGCCUUCGGGUUGUAAACCGCUUUCGCCUGUGACGCAGCGUGAGUGACGGUAAUGGGUAAAGAAGCACCGGCUAACUACGUG